rnacentral:lncRNA from 10 species
UCAUUCUGGGAGCCGCAGAGAGAAAGGUAGGAUCUUGUUUUGCUGCAGGCUGACCUUGUGAGGUUUAGGUUUAGGUGGGGCCAUCUGGAAGAGUAAGCUCUACCCCUUAGAACAGGGCAGGAGGAGGGGAGGACUCUUCCAUUCUGAGAUACAAAUAAAACCCACCUUAUACCAUGAACAUUAUUUUCCAAAAAACCCUGAUUUGGACUCCAUAUGGCAGUCAUAUAUAUUCUUUCUGGUAACAUAACUUUGCUUGGCCUCAUUUCUUGUGAACAGUCGUGGUCUUAUUUUGUUUAGAGAUUGUUCAUGCAAUAGCUGCCUUGGGUAACCAACAGAGCUGUAGGACGUUGUCAGACAAUGACGCAUUCUGUGCCCAAUCUCUUCUCCUGAAUUCCCAGGAUUCACCUCCAAGUUAGGAAGGCAGUGGUAUUUUUAUUUAAGUAGCUACCCUAUGCAAAGCCAUAUCUCUCCUUAGGACUCAGCCAGUUUCCCCAGGUUCUGCUAAAGGCGUAUUUUGGAAUUGUCACCACACUAUCCUCUGAGCCACCACUCUUCUCGGGAGGUUAAAGUCUGUUCCUGGUACAGCUCUUGAAGCCAACCCCUGCACUCAUCAGGUUGAGUUCUCCCCCAAAAAUGAGUUAACAGAGCAGGUCUGAGGCUGCUAUGCUUAGAAAGACCUGCAGGCAUGGCCGUCAUCUGGGAACUUGGACUUGGGGAGGGUUUCCACCUUCCCCAGAAUUGAUAAGCGUGGCUCACAGUACCUAAACAGACGAUGUGGUAUAUGUUGAACUUCUGCUUUCCCUUCUGGGAGUCUGGAAUUUUGGUAUGUGCCAGGUAGAGGCAGACAAUAAAAGCCUUGGGCCCUGAGUCUCUAAGAAGUAUUCCUGGUAGACAGCAUUUAACACAUGGCAUGACUUGUUGCUGGAAGAAUUGAAUAUAUGCCAUGUGACCCCAUGGGGAAAAGACUCUUGGGAGCUUUCCU